GACGAACGCUGGCGGCGUGCUUAACACAUGCAAGUCGAACGGAGUUAAGGAGCUUGCUCCUUAACUUAGUGGCGGACGGGCGAGUAACGCGUGAGCAACCUGCCCUUCAGUGGGGAAUAACGACUGGAAACGGUCGCUAAUACCGCAUAAUGUGACAGAACCGCAUGGUUUUGUGACCAAAGAUUUAUCGCUGAAGGAUGGGCUCGCGUCCGAUUAGGUAGUUGGUGAGGUAACGGCUCACCAAGCCGACGAUCAGUAGCCGAUCUGAGAGGAUGACCGGCCACAUUGGAACUGAGACACGGUCCAAACUCCUACGGGAGGCAGCAGUGGGGAAUAUUGGGCAAUGGGCGAAAGCCUGACCCAGCAACGCCGCGUGAGGGAAGAAGGUUUUCGGAUUGUAAACCUCUGUCCUAAGGGAAGAAGGAAGUGACGGUACCUUAGGAGGAAGCCCCGGCUAACUACGUG
rnacentral:rRNA from 1 species